rnacentral:rRNA from 1 species
GUCUUAGACCUUAAUACCCUAAAGGCACCAGAUUCUAUAUGACCUUAGAAGCAAAGCAGGAUUUGCCCUGGUUAGUACUUUUAAUGGGAGACCACCAAUGAAUACCAGGUACUGUUGACU